GGAGGGGUGGCCGAGCGGUUUAUGGCGCACGCCUGGAAAGCGUGUUGGGUGCAAGCCCUCGCGGGUUCAAAUCCCGCUCCCUCCGCCA
rnacentral:tRNA from 1 species